CUGGAAAAGAAGUAUGCAGUGCAUUCCCACCACCGAGAAGAGCCCCUCCCUAAAUUAAAAUAAACAAUUCCCCACAUGGCUCAGGAGACCCGAAGAUUCAGUGGGCGUCCUCUGAUCCCACGACCAAGCCAGCUUCUUUUUUCACCCAGGAACUCGAGAGCGGAUGUUAGCUAGCCACCGACCUCUGGAGGACAAAGGCCAGCCCUGCAGGUGUCUGCUCUGAGCUCACUGGGCACCUGCCAGCAAGGUUCGCUGUAGAGCGAUAAGGAGAAACAGUCCCUGCCGGUUUUACCUCCCUAAUCCACGGGAGCACCAGAGCCAAUGCAACACUCCCUUCGGAGUCCCCAGCAAAGACAGGCCUACUUCGCACAGCCAGGACGCGAACCUGCGCUGUAUGAUUCACCCUACACACCACACAGCUGAGCUUCUACCAGGCUCAGCUCACCGCUACCACCCCUGCGCUGACUCGGGAGGGCGAAGAUGAACACACGCUGUCCUCCGAAGUGUGUACCAUCAGCCGACUGCUUUUUUUCAUACUGCGGACUCACCAUGCAGCCACCCAAGAGCUACGGCAUCGGAGGACAACGCAGCUUACAGGCAAGCCUGCAGGCGCCCGGAAAGACUACAGGGGUCGCUGGUGCGUGGUGAGCCGUGGACACCCUGGCCGACCUAACCCUCCCUCCCCCCAGGCGACGCUCGUCCAAUUGUGCGCCGCCCCCUGGGAGCUCCCGUCCAGUCGGCUGUGGAAUAGCCUGGACUCGAACCGAUGACGUCCAGGCUAUAGAGCGAAUCCUGCACUCCACACGGAGCGCCUUUACGGGAUGCGCCACUUGGGAGACCCCCCAAAUACAUUGUUAAACUUAGUACAGGAAGAUUAUAGCUCUGAUGCAAAUAAAUCCAAUACAUAGGCACACACAUAUAUAGAUAUACAUGCAAGCACACACACACACACAUUAUAUAUAAACACACACUGAUUAGUCAACUAAAGAGUUGAUCGCAGAUACAUUUUUUUUUUUUUUUACAAUUUAAUCAUGCAUUAAAAGUGCAUUCUGAGUAGAAAGGGAAAAGCGUGCUACUAUUUACGGAAGUGCUAAUUUGAAGCAUGCUCUCUCCCUCCCUGUAAGUGGCAAGACACUGUGGUUUUAAGCUUGUAUAAAAAGGGGUUAAAGUUGUGUAAAAAUCAUAAUUGUUGUCUUGUUUUGUACAAGGAUUGGUGAUAGUGUGCUAUGGAUGUAUAUACGAAUUUGGAACGGGAAUGUUUAUCUACAUUAAAUGAUCGCCAAACAUGUGUCUGCAAAGUGUCUCGUGUGCAUUGUAAUCGGAGUUGUGGUAAAAUCCAGCGUGGCGCAUUUAUCCUGACCAACAUAAUAAACUGUUUAUUUAGUUAUAAACCUUGGAGUGUUUUUUGUUUCCAUGUUUGUGCAUUGCUA